rnacentral:rRNA from 1 species
UCGAACGAAGCACAUACGGCGGAACUUUUCGGAGGGAAUAUGUAUGUGACUGAGUGGCGGACGGGUGAGUAACGCGUGGGUAACCUGCCCCAUAGAGGGGGACAACAGUUGGAAACGACUGCUAAUACCGCAUAAGAAAGAAUUGCCGCAUGGCAGUUUUUUGAAAGAUUUAUCGCUAUGGGAUGGACCCGCGUCUGAUUAGCUAGUUGGGAGGGUAACGGCCUACCAAGGCAACGAUCAGUAGCCGGCUUGAGAGAGUGAACGGCCACAUUGGGACUGAGACACGGCCCAGACUCCUACGGGAGGCAGCAGUGGGGAAUAUUGCACAAUGGGGGAAACCCUGAUGCAGCGACGCCGCGUGAGUGAAGAAGUAUUUCGGUAUGUAAAGCUCUAUCUGCAGGGAACAAACCCACCCUCCGGGGUGGCUGACAGUACCUGACUAAGAAGCCCCGGCUAACUACGUGCCAGCAGCCGCGGUAAUACGUAGGGGGCAAGCGUUAUCCGGAUUUACUGGGUGUAAAGGGAGCGUAGGUGGCAAGGCAAGUCAGAUGUGAAAACCCGGGGCCCAACCCCGGGAGUGCCCCCCCCCUGUCUGCUAGAGUGCAGGAGAGGUACCCCGAAUUCCUAGUGUAG